rnacentral:rRNA from 1 species
UACGUAGGGGGCGAGCGUUGUCCGAAGUUACUGGGCGUAAAGCGCGCGUAGGCGGGGGAUUAAGUGAGAGGUGAAAGGCUGGGGGCUCAACCUCAUGCAGUGCCUCUCAUACUGGUCUUCUUGAGGGCGGUAGGGAGAAGUGGAAUGGCUGGUGUAGCGGUGAAAUGCGUAGAUAUCAGUCGGAACACCGGUGGCGAAGGCGGCUUCUUGGGCCGUUCCUGACGCUGAGGCGCGAAAGCUGGGGGGAGCGAACGGG